ACGGCAGUAAUCUAAUGGCUAUGAUUCGAGCUUCCCAAGCUUGCUAUCCGGGUUCAAAUCCCGGCUGCCGUA
rnacentral:tRNA from 1 species